rnacentral:tRNA from 1 species
GGGUCAUUAGCUCAGCUGGGAGAGCGCGUGGUUCGCAAUCACGAGGUCAGCGGUUCGAUCCCGCUAUGAUCCACCA